ACAGCAGUAGCCGCGGGAAUACAGAGGGUGCAAGCGUUAAUCGGAUUUACUGGGCGUAAAGCGUGCGUAGGUGGUUUGUUAAGUUGGAUGUGAAAUCCCUGGGCUUAACCUAGGAAUUGCAUCCAAAACUGGGAAGCUAGAGUAUGGGAGAGGAUGGUAGAAUUGCAUGUGUAGCGGUGAAAUGCGUAGAUAUAUGAAGGAAUACCAGUGGCGAAGGCAGCCAUCUGGACUGAUACUGACACUGAGGUGCGAAAGCAUGGGGAGCAAACAGGAUUAGAUACCCCAGUAGUCCCUGUCUCUUAUAC
rnacentral:rRNA from 1 species